UGCGCAGGCGGGCAAUUAAGUCAGAGGUGAAAUCCCACAGCUCAACUGUGGAACUGCCUUUGAUACUGGUUGUCUUGAGUUACAGUGAAGUAGAUAGAAUAUGUAGUGUAGCGGUGAAAUGCAUAGAUAUUACAUAGAAUACCGAUUGCGAAGGCAGUCUACUAACUGUAUACUGACGCUAAUGGACGAAAGCGUGGGGAGCGAACAGGAUUAGAUACCCUGGUAGUCC
rnacentral:rRNA from 1 species